rnacentral:rRNA from 1 species
GAUGAACGCUAGCUACAGGCUUAACACAUGCAAGUCGCGGGGCAGCAUGGGGGUUGCUUGCAAUCCCCGAUGGCGGCCGGCGCACGGGUGAGUAACGCGUAUCCAACCUGCCCUUCACCACGGGAUAACCCGGCGAAAGUCGGACUAAUACCGUAUGUUGUCCAUUGACGGCAUCCGAUUUGGACGAAAGGCUUGGCGGUGAGGGAUGGGGAUGCGUCCGAUUAGCCAGACGGCGGGGUAACGGCCCACCGUGGCUACGAUCGGGAGGGGUUCUGAGAGGAAGGUCCCCCACACUGGAACUGAGACACGGUCCAGACUCCUACGGGAGGCAGCAGUGAGGAAUAUUGAUCAAUGGGCGUAAGCCUGAACCAGCCAAGUAGCGUGCAGGAGGACGGCCCUAUGGGUUGUAAACUGCUUUUAUGCGGGGAUAAAGUGGCCCACGUGUGGGCUUUUGCAGGUACCGCAUGAAUAAGGACCGGCUAAUUCCGUG